GGUCGCUUAGCUCAGUUUGGUAGAGCGCUACCCUUACAAGGUAGAUGUCAUAAGUUCGAGUCUUAUAGCGACCACCA
rnacentral:tRNA from 1 species